CCCCCGGUAGCUCAAUCGAAUAGAGCAUUCCAAUGACUACGGAAAGGUUGCAGGUUUGAAUCCUGCCCGGGGGA
rnacentral:tRNA from 1 species